AUAAAUUUUAGGCACAUGCACCAGAAAACCUUACAUUUUUGAAUGACUUUAAUUACUUAAGUUGGCUUAAAUUCAUCACCAGCAAUGGGUUGGCAGUGUAUAGGGCUUGACCUGAAUGCUUGGAUCUCAUCAAUCUGACCAAAAGCGAAACAAGUCUCUGACAGGUGACAGCAUAAAGUCAUCUCGUCCGAGCGUUCCACGACUAUCACAUUCAGGAUCAUCAGAUUCAACGCAUACCAAAAGCACACAACUGAGUAACCAUGCGCUUCAAAACGCUUUCGCUGCUGGCUCUGCUGUCUCUGCUGCUGGGGGUCUGUUCAGCGGCGGCCGCUAGCCUGGCCGGCCUGGUUUACCUGACCAGCCUAUCCCACCUGGCCCGUGCGACGACCACCAUUCGGCCGGAAGAUGACUACAACUGCUGCUGGUGCACCAACCUGCACGUUUUCUGUUUCCGAAUGUGUUGUGUUUAGCAGCUCCCGGUGUUUGCCUCUAGUCUCAUCCCAGGCGCAUCCAAGGUGCAUGGUACACAUGCAUGUGACAAUGCUGGACCGCUGUGUGUUCGGUGCACCAGCGCACUCCUGAAUGAAACAGCGACGUAAGAGCUGAGUGUAUGGAAACUGCCUUCUACCCCGUUUCGCACUUUUGCAUGCGCGCUGUUGAAAAUUUCGCUUACGAAAAAAUAAAGUAAGUCUUUCGGUU